GUCUCUGGGCAGCAGUGGUGAGGAGGCUUCGGCCUGCCGUUUUCUUCUUUUCGGUCUUCCAACCUUGCCAUUUGCUGCCCACCCGU
rnacentral:antisense_RNA from 2 species